rnacentral:tRNA from 1 species
UCCCUGGAGGACUAGUGGUUAGGCGCUCUCGCUCUCAUUGCCAUGGCCUGGGUUCAAUUCCCGGCCAGGGAA